rnacentral:rRNA from 1 species
AUUGAACGCUGGCGGCAUGCCUUACACAUGCAAGUCGAACGGUAACGGGCCUUCGGGUGCCGACGAGUGGCGAACGGGUGAGUAAUGCAUCGGAACGUACCUUUCAGUGGGGGAUAACGUAGCGAAAGUUACGCUAAUACCGCAUAUUCUGUACGCAGGAAAGCAGGGGAUCGCAAGACCUUGCGCUGAUUGAGCGGCCGAUGUCAGAUUAGCUAGUUGGUGAGGUAAAGGCUCACCAAGGCGACGAUCUGUAGCGGGUCUGAGAGGAUGAUCCGCCACACUGGAACUGAGACACGGUCCAGACUCCUACGGGAGGCAGCAGUGGGGAAUUUUGGACAAUGGGGGCAACCCUGAUCCAGCCAUGCCGCGUGAGUGAAGAAGGCCUUCGGGUUGUAAAGCUCUUUCGGCCGGGAAGAAAUCGCACAGGCUAAUACCCUGUGUGGAUGACGGUACCGGAAUAAGAAGCACCGGCUAACUACGUG